AUAGUAAACAUCCCUGGAGAGACACCGCGAGAGACCUUGGCAUCGGGCCCGCACGUAGCACUCGCUAAACGUUCAUUGCUAUUUUAAAAGAGAAGGGAGAAGAUAAUGAAGAGAUGAACAGUUUUGAAGGGAAGACGAUACGAACAUGAAAAAACAUCUCAAUCACCUGAAUCCCCUUGGGUGCAAUUUUUCGUUGGACUCGACAUUCUGUAAACGGAACCUGGACUCGGGUUUUGAGCAUACGAAUUUAUCCAAAGUGCAUGGUUGGUUUCCAAGCGGUCCUGCAGCCACAUAACUUCCCCUGUACUACCGCAGCAUAUGAGGCUUCUCUAGCACCGAGCUCUUGCAACACUUGUCAUUUCUCCAGUGCUGGGCUCCUUCGAUGCACAUUGGCCAUCAUCACCCAGUGGUCAGCAGCUCCUUGCAGAACCUCUCCUGGGGGAGUUUGUGGACUCAGACUGCUAAACCAUUUGCAUGAGAGAACUACACACCAUUUGAAAAAACAGCUUUUUUUGCAAGGUGCCAUGGCUCACUCCUGUAAUCCUGGCAACUUGGAAGGCUGAGGCAGCAGGACUACUUGAGGCCAGGAGGUGAAGACCAGCCUGGGUGAUACAGCAAGUCAUAACAUUAGGCAACCUCAGCAGGAAUCUGUUGUAAAAUGGAAGUGUAAUAUUAAGUUUUGGGCAGAAUUAAGUCCAUAGAGCUUAAGUAAGCUGCAGUAAAGAUGACUUAGACCUCCAUGUCACCUAAAAAUGUUGCAUUAACAAUGCUCCCUCAGCCUCAUGGGAGGCGUUCUCCAUCACCAGCUGACAGAAAGAGGUUUGACUUUGAUCUAUGAAUAGAGUGUCAUGAUAUGUGGUUACAAGUGGAAAAUGAAGUGCUAUUUUGCUACACCCCUUACUUGAGAAUGUCCCUGACAGUUGUGAGGGGAAUCCCUUAGGCAGAGCAUCUAUUAGUUCAUCUGGUCAUUCAUUUGUAUAGUAAGAAAAGUAGUCCAAAGUAAGGAUGUACAUGAACUCCUAGGCAAUAGUUAAUGGUUUAGCUCUCUGGUGAGAACUCUGGAAGGAGUCAGAUUGGAAGACUGGGAUUAAGUAGGACUGGGAAAAAGCAUGUAUUUAUAGACUAAUGAGAGUAGGCACAUGGUGUGAGCACUUUUGUACUGCGUGCUAACUUUCCCAACCCCCUUUUAUUCCAUUUCUCAUUACAGCUACCAAAUCAUCUGUACUGCAAAAUCUCUUACAUUUUUCACUAGACAGAUAAUAUAAAAGUGGUAUUAACAUGUUUUCCACACCCAUGUUAUUGCAAUCAUCUGGUGGUAGAUCCAGACUUGAUUAGAUUCAGCUUUUUAAUUUUUUUUGGCAGUAACAUACCAUAAGGAGGUGAUAUAAUCUGAACUUCCUAUUGCAUCUCACCGGGAAGAAUAUAAUAUAUUGUCUUAUUUUUAUUUAGGUUAAGAUGGUUCGACUGUUGUCAUCUAUCCAUUAAAAUUUCUUUCCCAUCAAUCUUCCAUUUAAUGGUAAUAACAUUUGUUAUUUAAUUAAGGAUUGCAAAGUGGUGAUGUUUGAAUUCUAAUAUUACUCCUGAGUUUACUAGUUGUUAUUCUUCUCUAAAGAGGACAUUACAUACGUUUUUGUGGUAUACUGAAAUAUAGUCUGAACAGGAAAGGAAGAACAAAUGUUAUCUUUCUUCUUUUAUUAUCAUAAUAAUGAGUUCUUGUCUCAGUAGUCAUCCAUGCUAACGUGUGACUUUGCUUUUGAAUAUCGUUAUGAAGUUAAGAAGUUUCUUUAUGAAUAUCAUUAUGACGUUAACGUAUCUAUAUCUGUAUAUCUAUAUGGAGAUAUAUUUUGAUCUAUUAUUGUCAUCUUUUUGUUAAACUAUUUGUUCCAUGUUUGGCAAAUGAUGCUAGAAAAUAAAAUUUUUUUAGAAAUAAAUACAUUAAAAAUCUUAAAUUUGGGUUUAUUUAAUAAUGUAUUUGAUUUCACAUUUGUAUCUCUUUUCUGUUUAUUUGAAAAUCUUUAUUUUCUAGUGACACAAGUAUAUUAUUCAUUUGCUUUAUUCUAUGAUAAGCAUGUGUGUAUAUAAGGUCUAUAAUAAUGUACAUCAAAUUUUCAAAAUAAUGUAAACUAAAAAUCCUAAGCCAUCACCAACUAAAUAAAUCCCUGUUUGGCCAAGAGGACCCCAGAAAAACCUUAAAAACUGAAUUCCUGGCUAAGACAGGGAAGGAGGUCAGGACAUGUAUAAUUAUACCCCUCCCUUUUGGAAUUCAGGCAGAACCACCAACCAUCGUUAAUGUUAAAACAGAGGCCAUAGGCUAACAAAAUGGACUUUUCGUGGCAAUAAGAUAUCCAAUUGUAAACAGAACCCGAGGCCAUGACUUACAGGUCUCUCUUACCCAGUCUAUUGGUUAACACACUUUCUUUUUUUCUUUUUUUUUGUUUUUGUUUGUUUGUUUGUUUGUUUUGUUUUGUUUUGUUUUGUUUUGUUUUGUUUUUGAGAUGGAGUUUCGCUCUUGUUACCCAGGCUGGAGUGCAAUGGCGCGAUCUUGGCUCACCGCAACCUCCGCCUCCUGGGUUCAGGCAAUUCUCCUGCCUCAGCCUCCUGAGUAGCCCAGCCGGUUAACACACUUUCUUAUCAUAAAAAUUCCUUUCUGCUAACUCCAAAUUUUUAGACAAAGCUUUACUUCUUUACUCAAUUGCAAAUUGAAGAAUUUCUGAAUCUAUAACCUAUAAGCCCCUGUUUCAAGAUAUCCUACUUUUUUGGACCAAACAAUGUAUACCUUCCAUGUAUUGACUUACGUCUUUGUCUGCAAUUCCUGUUUUCCUGAAAUCUAUAAAACCAAACUGUAACCCAACCACAUACGGUAAGUUUUCUUACGACCUCUUGAAACUGGGUUUCAAGAGGCCAUGGUCUCCCAUACCGGCUUAGAAUAAACCUCUCUAAAAUAUUUUACAGAGGUUGAUUUUUCCAUUAACAAUAAUAAUACCAACAUAUCAAAUAUUGAAAUUACAACACCAGCGUUACUACUAGCAUAAUGCCACUGAAUACAAUUUCAGUGUUUUUUCAGUCAGUUUUCCUCAGGAUACAAGGAUGUGGAGUCAGGAUAUUAUGUUUUGAG
ensembl:lncRNA